GACGAACGCUGGCGGCGUGCUUAACACAUGCAAGUCGAACGGAAAGGCCCUGCUUUUGUGGGGUGCUCGAGUGGCGAACGGGUGAGUAACACGUGAGUAACCUGCCCUUGACUUUGGGAUAACUUCAGGAAACUGGGGCUAAUACCGGAUAGGAGCUCCUGCUGCAUGGUGGGGGUUGGAAAGUUUCGGCGGUUGGGGAUGGACUCGCGGCCUAUCAGCUUGUUGGUGGGGUAGUGGCUUACCAAGGAUUUGACGGGUAGCCGGCCUGCGAGGGUGACCGGCGACAUUGGGACUGAGAUACGGCCCAGACUCCUACGGGAGGCAGCAGUGGGGAAUAUUGCACAAUGGGCGGAAGCCUGAUGCAGCAACGCCGCGUGCGGGAUGACGGCCUUCGGGUUGUAAACCGCUUUCGCCUGUGACGAGGCGUGAGUGACGGUAAUGGGUAAAGAAGCUCCGGCUAACUACGUG
rnacentral:rRNA from 1 species